rnacentral:rRNA from 1 species
GUAGGGAAUAUUGGGCAAUGGGGGAAACCCUGACCCAGCAACGCCGCGUGAGGGAAGAAGGCCUAACGGUUGUAAACCUCUGUCAUAUGGGAAGAAGGAAUGACAGUACCAUAUGAGGAAGCUCCGGCUAACUACGUGCCAGCAGCCGCGGUAAUACGUAGGGAGCAAGCGUUGUCCGGAAUUACUGGGCGUAAAGGGUGCGUAGGCGGCAUGUUAAGUUAGAUGUCAAAUACCCGGGCUUAACCCGGGGACGCAUCUAAAACUGGCGUGCUUGAGUGCAGGAGAGGAAAGCGGAAUUCCUAGUGUAGCGGUGGAAUGCGUAGAUAUUAGGAGGAACACCAGUGGCGAAGGCGGCUUUCUGGACUGAACCUGACGCUGAGGCGCGAAAGCAUGGGGAGCGAACGGGAUUAGAAACCCCAGUAGUCC